UUUUUUUCUGUUUUUUUCUUCUUCUCCCCAUCUCUCUCGCUAGUUCUAGAUCUCUUCCUUUGGUUCUUCUUUCUUCCAUCUUUUCCUAGAUCUACAUUUCAUUCCUGUUCAUGAGAGAGAGGAAGAGGGAGAGAGAGAGAGAGAAGAGAAUAUGAAAGAUCGGAGCAUGCUUUUCCACGGCUUUCUUGAACUUGGUACUCAGGUCGGUUUCUCUCUCUCGCUCUCACUUUCUUUUGUGUGGAUGCAUGAAUUUUCCGUUUCGAGACAGAUGUAAGUAUUUCUUAAAAGGCAGAUCUCAGUACAAAGCUCAAGAAAGCUGUGGGAAAACAUGAAAAGAUUUCUAAAUUCCAUGGAGAUAUUUCAUCACCUUUUCCGUCUUCUGCUGGUAAAAAGCACCACACACGGCACACGUGCCAACAUGGUGCAUCAGCUAGCCCGCACGGUGGGGAUGACCGUACGCACAACACGUUCCACGCAGGAUGUCACACGCGUUAGAGACCCGGGCCAUUCAUCAAGGACUGCUUACUAUGAACAUGGCAUAUAACAAAAAUCCGGGCGGUCUACUCAUCUAGCGAGUCACUGAGGGACGCUGAAUUUAGACCGUUGGAAUUCCUUUCUAACGGCCCAUUUUUCUCUGAAAAGUUUGUCCUGACCAGUGGACUAACAUUGUUUCUGGUCGAUCACAUCUCCAUACUCUAACCUAUCGGAUGGAUGGCCUGGAUUUCUGACAUGUGCUAUACAACAAAAGGAGCCUGGAACCCCUUUGGAGCUGUAAUCUGGGCCCACACUCUAUCAAAACCCCAUCAGGUGGGCCAAUCUUCUUCGGAAGAGAUUUGCUAAGUUGCAGCUCACAAAUUGCAGUUAAGUUCAUUCCAAGUUCAAAUUGAAUGUAAAUGAAUUGCUUUUAGCCUAAUCCUCAAUAUGUGAAUGGAAAGAGAUUUGCGAAUUCCGCACGCUUGUGAGCCCUGCCAUCCACGUGCAGGCACAUCAGCCAAUAUGGAACAUGCGUGUGAGAUCUCAGCUAUCCAUCAAGUGGGUUACAUGCUUUUCGAUCUCUUCAAGUCCAGAUGUGUGGCACAAAAAAAAAAAAAAAACUCAAUUUGUAAAUCGUGGCCACCUGAAGACUGAAACGGCUUGUUUUUUUAGGGAUUUUAACCAGAUGGAAAGUUCAGAUCUAGAACACGCUUGCCUGGUUGUAGAUGUCAAUACGAUUUCAUUGUGCAUCCAAACGCAACCUAGAAUAAUAAUCAGAAUUGGAUCUUGGUUCAGUCCUCUUUACCACGUUAUUUUACCAAAUCGGAAAAUGACGUGCAGCAGGGAAUUUGCUGGUUGUCAUGUCACGCUUUUCCCGAUUAGCCAUUACGUGAAAAGGAGUUAUUUCCUACUCUGGCAGGUAUGGCUCUUGAUAAGCAGGCACCCAUAAAUUGUACACGUUACAUGUGUUAUCUCAAUUUAAUCCGACUAAAUUGUAGAUCCCAAUCUUGCUAAUUCACACUCCUGAAAUAAUUUUCGUUCAAAAUUUAUAUCCUCUGAUUGGUGGACACUUGUUAUUGAAAUAGAACCGUUGGAUGUUUUCAUUUUUAACCUUCCAACAGAUGUCCAUUAAUUAGAUAGAUUAGCAAAUAAAUGUAAUUUUUGUUCACGAGCCAAAGGUUGGACAGUUUAACUUAAUUACUUGUAUUCCAGGUAUGUAAUUAUUU